UACGUAGGGUGCGAGCGUUGUCCGGAAUUAUUGGGCGUAAAGGGCUCGUAGGCGGUUUGUCACGUCGGGAGUGAAAACUCGGGGCUUAACCCCGAGCGUGCUUCCGAUACGGGCAGACUAGAGGUAUGCAGGGGAGAACGGAAUUCCUGGUGUAGCGGUGGAAUGCGCAGAUAUCAGGAGGAACACCGGUGGCGAAGGCGGUUCUCUGGGCAGUAACUGACGCUGAGGAGCGAAAGCGUGGGGAGCGAACAGG
rnacentral:rRNA from 1 species